rnacentral:rRNA from 1 species
UACGAAGGGGGGCUAGCGUUGUUCGGAAUCACUGGGCGUAAAGGGCGCGUAGGCGGCUUUAUAAGUCGGGGGUGAAAGCCUGUGGCUCAACCACAGAAUUGCCUUUGAUACUGGAGAUCUUGAGUCCGGAAGAGGUAAGUGGAACUGCGAGUGUAGAGGUGAAAUUCGUAGAUAUUCGCAAGAACACCAGUGGCGAAGGCGGCUUACUGGUCCGGAACUGACGCUGAGGUGCGAAAGCGUGGGGAGCAAACAGG